rnacentral:rRNA from 1 species
CCCCAUCGGGGGACAGAGUGACAGGUGGUGCAUGGUUGUGCUCAGCUCGUGUCGUGAGAUGUUGGGUUAAGUCCCGCAACGAGCGCAACCCUUGAUCUUAGUUGCAAGCAUUCAGUUGGGCACUCUAAGGUGACUGCCGGUGACAAACCGGAGGAAGGUGCGGAUGACGUCAAAUCAUCAUGCCCCUUAUGACCUGGGCUACACACGUGCUACAAUGGAUGGUACAAAGGGCAGCGAAACCGCGAGGUUUAGCCAAUCCCAUAAAGCCAUUCUCAGUUCGGAUUGUAGGCUGCAACUCGCCUACAUGAAGCCGGAAUCGCUAGUAAUCGCGGAUCAGCAUGCCGCGGUGAAUACGUUCCCGGGCCUUGUACACACCGCCCGUCACACCACGAGAGUU